rnacentral:rRNA from 1 species
GAUGAACGCUGGCGGCGUGCCUAAUACAUGCAAGUCGAGCGAACAGACGAGGAGCUUGCUCCUCUGACGUUAGCGGCGGACGGGUGAGUAACACGUGGAUAACCUACCUAUAAGACUGGGAUAACUUCGGGAAACCGGAGCUAAUACCGGAUAAUAUAUUGAACCGCAUGGUUCAAUAGUGAAAGACGGUGUUGCUGUCACUUAUAGAGGGAUCCGCGCCGCAUUAUCUAGUUGGUAAGGUAACGGCUUACCAAGGCAACGAUGCGUAGCCGACCUGAGAGGGUGAUAGGCCACACUGGAACUGAGACACGGUCCAGACUCCUACGGGAGGCAGCAGUAGGGAAUCUUCCGCAAUGGGCGAAAGCUUGACGGAGCAACGCCGCGUGAGUGAUGAAGGUCUUCGGAUCGUAAAACUCUGUUAUUAGGGAAGAACAAAUGUGUAAGUAACUAUGCACGUCUUGACGGUACCUAAUCAGAAAGCCACGGCUAACUACGUG